GGGGACGGUUAUCCGGAUUACUGCGGCGUAAGCGUGUGUAGGCGGUUCGGAAAGAAAGAUGUGAAAUCCCAGGGCUCAACCUUGGAACUGCAUUUUUAACUGCCGAGCUAGAGUAUGUCAGAGGGGGGUAGAAUUCCACGUGUAGCAGUGAAAUGCGUAGAUAUGUGGAGGAAUACCGAUGGCGAAGGCAGCCCCCUGGGAUAAUACUGACGCUCAGACACGAAAGCGUGGGGAGCAAACAGGAUUAGAUACCCUGGUAGUCCACGCCCUAAACGAUGUCAACUAGCUGUUGGGGCCGUUAGGCCUUAGUAGCGCAGCUAACGCGUGAAGUUGACCGCCUGGGGAGUACGGUCGCAAGAUUAAAACUCAAAGGAAUUGACGGGGACCCGCACAAGCGGUGGAUGAUGUGGAUUAAUUCGAUGCAACGCGAAAAACCUUACCUACCCUUGACAUGUCUGGAAAGCCGAAGAGAUUUGGCCGUGCUCGCAAGAGAACCGGAACACAGGUGCUGCAUGGCUGUCGUCAGCUCGUGUCGUGAGAUGUUGGGUUAAGUCCCGCAACGAGCGCAACCCUUGUCAUUAGUUGCUACGCAAGAGCACUCUAAUGAGACUGCCGGUGACAAACCGGAGGAAGGUGGGGAUGACGUCAAGUCCUCAUGGCCCUUAUGGGUAGGGCUUCACACGUCAUACAAUGGUCGGGACAGAGGGUCGCCAACCCGCGAGGGGGAGCCAAUCUCAGAAACCCGAUCGUAGUCCGGAUCGCAGUCUGCAACUCGACUGCGUGAAGUCGGAAUCGCUAGUAAUCGCGGAUCAGAAUGUCGCGGUGAAUACGUUCCCGGGUCUUGUACACACCGCCCGUCACACCAUGGGAGUGGGUUUCACCAGAAGUAGGUAGCCUAACCGUAAGGAGGGCGCUUACCACGGUGGGAUUCAUGACUGGGUGAUCAGAAAAGAACCCCCAAAAUAUAUAAAAAAGGAUAGCCGCAGGGGGGGGCGUUUAA
rnacentral:rRNA from 1 species